rnacentral:snoRNA from 1 species
GUGCAGUGAUGACCCCAACAUGCCAUCUGAUUGCACUUACUGAAAACCAGAGGUUGUUUCUGAGCUG